rnacentral:rRNA from 1 species
CCUACGGGUGGCUGCAGUGGGGAAUAUUGCACAAUGGGCGCAAGCCUGAUGCAGCCAUGCCGCGUGUGUGAAGAAGGCCUUCGGGUUGUAAAGCACUUUCAGCGGGGAGGAAGGCGUUAAGGUUAAUAACCUUGUCGAUUGACGUUACCCGCAGAAGAAGCACUGGCUAACUCCGUGCCAGCAGCCGCGGUAAUACGGAGGGUGCAAGCGUUAAUCGGAAUUACUGGGCGUAAAGCGCACGCAGGCGGUCUGUCAAGUCGGAUGUGAAAUCCCCGGGCUUAACCUGGGAACUGCAUUCGAAACUGGCAGGCUAGAGUCUUGGAGAGGGGGGUAGAAUUCCAGGUGUAGCGGUGAAAUGCGUAGAGAUCUGGAGGAAUACCGGUGGCGAAGGCGGCCCCCUGGACAAAGACUGACGCUCAGGUGCGAAAGCGUGGGGAGCAAACAGGAUUAGAUACCCUAGUAGUC